GCUGAAAAUGGUGCUGCUCAUUCGGACUGGAGGUGCUGGGGGUUUGUCUUCGGGGUCACAGUUGUCACACAUGGUAGGGGUAGUAGAAGGAUGACAACCAAGCACCAGGCAAGACGUCAAUCACAUCGGUGGUGUGGAAAAAGUAUUUUCGGCCCUAGGAUUAUUGGGCUUUGGCGAAGGGGAAACGGAACUGCAGACCAAGCCCUGCCCAGCCCAGCAUAACCCACAACAGACUGAUCAAACGGACCGGCUCUGAAGACCCAGCAUGACCCACCACUGAUUGAUCUAACGGACCACUGUAUUCACUGUACAUCACUGUAUUGCUAUUAUACUACACUAUUAUACUGUUAUAUUAUUCUCCAUUUGGCAAAGGAAAAAAAUCUAUGCAUCUUGAAACUUAAGAAUCAAAUACCUCAAUGUUGAAUAAAUGCCUAAAGGAUUGUUGGUAGUGUAGGCCUAUUGCAAAUAAUUGGAUGGAAAAAUGGUUUGGAGAAAUUACGACACAAAAAAAUUAACAAUU